AGAUUUCUUCGGAUUGAAGUGCGUAUGACUGAGUGGCGGACGGGUGAGUAACACGUGGGUAAUCUGCCUGAGAGACUGGGACAACAGGGGAAACCGCUGCUAAUACCAGAUAAGCUCACGGGGACGGGAGUUCCUGGGAGAAAAGGAGAAAUCCGCUUUCAGAUGAGCCCGCGGCUGAUUAGCCAGUUGGUGGGGUAACGGCCUACCAAAGCGACGAUCAGUAGCCGGCCUGAGAGGGUGUACGGCCACACUGGAACUGAGACACGGUCCAGACUCC
rnacentral:rRNA from 1 species